rnacentral:rRNA from 1 species
AGUGAACGCUGGCGGUAGGCCUAACACAUGCAAGUCGAACGGCAGCACAGUAAGAGCUUGCUCUUACGGGUGGCGAGUGGCGGACGGGUGAGGAAUACAUCGGAAUCUACUUUUUCUUGGGGGAUAACGUAGGGAAACUUACGCUAAUACCGCAUACGACCUACGGGUGAAAGCAGGGGAUCUUCCGACCUUGCGCGAUUGAAUGAGCCGAUGUCGGAUUAGCUAGUUGGCGGGGUAAAGGCCCACCAAGGCGACGAUCCGUAGCUGGUCUGAGAGGAUGAUCAGCCACACUGGAACUGAGACACGGUCCAGACUCCUACGGGAGGCAGCAGUGGGGAAUAUUGGACAAUGGGCGCAAGCCUGAUCCAGCCAUACCGCGUGGGUGAAGAAGGCCUUCGGGUUGUAAAGCCCUUUUGUUGGGAAAGAAAAGCAGCAGGUUAAUACCCCGCUGUUCUGACGGUACCAAAAGAAUAAGCACCGGCUAACUUCGUG